rnacentral:rRNA from 1 species
AUGACGUCAAGUCAGCAUGGCCUUUAUAUCCUGGGCUACACACACGCUACAAUGGGAAGGGACAAUAGGUUGCGAAGCCGCGAGGCGGGAGCCAAUCCAGCAAAACUUCCUCAGUUCAGAUUGCAGGCUGCAACCCGCCUGCAUGAAGUUGGAGUUGCUAGUAAACGCAGGUCAGCCAUACUGCGUUGAAUACGUUCCCGGGGCCUU